rnacentral:rRNA from 1 species
GCGGCGAGCGAACAGGGAAAAGCCCAGCACCGAAUCCCGCGGUCGUAACCGGUCGCCGGGACAUGUGGUGUUAGGAAGGAUCCGUUAUCUCGAGAGUUCGCGGCGCGUCCAAGUCCAUCUUGAACGGGGCCACUGCCCAUAGAGGGUGCCAGGCCCGUAGCGACCGCUGCGGCUUUCGAGAGGGUCUCUUCUGAGAGUCGGGUUGCUUGAGAGUGCAGCCCUAAGUGGGUGGUAAACUCCAUCUAAGGCUAAAUAUGACCACGAGACCGAUAGCGAACAAGUACCGUGAGGGAAAGUUGAAAAGAACUUUGAAGAGAGAGUUCAAGAGUACGUGAAACCGUUCAGGGGUAAACCUGAGAAACCCGAAAGGUCGAAUGGGGAGAUUCAUUCGCGACCCGAACCGUCGGCGUAAGUCGUUGGAGUGACGGCGGCGUUCGCGCCGUUCGCGCCCUUCGUCUUACGAGCCGAUUUCGGACGCGUGCACUUCUCCCCUAGUAGGACGUCGCGAUCCGUUGAGUGCCGGUCUACGGUCCGCAGUGUAGCCCGCGAGCGCGGUUCUCCGUCGCUUUCGGACACGCGGUUGCCCGACCGGCUCGCUCGACGGUUCAUAGAUGGCGGGAGGCCGCGACUUUAGUUCGCGUCCGACCCGCGGCAAGCUCGCAAGCUGUGUCGGCGAUCGGACUUAGUGCCGAUUCCGACCGCUGGCGGCUGUUCGCCGCGGUGCUCUCGGACAGACCUCUGUGAAACGCCGAUCGGCGACGCUAUAGCUUUGGGUACUUUCAGGACCCGUCUUGAARCACGGACCAAGGAGUCUAGCGUGUGCGCGAGUCAUUGGGAUAACACUAAACCUAAAGGCGCAAUGAAAGUAAAAGUUCGUCUUGCACGAACAGAGGGAAGACGGUCGGUCUUCGUGACCGACCCGCACUCCCGGGGCGUCUCAUUCUCAUUGCGAGAGGAGGCGCACCAAGAGCGUACACGCUGGGACCCGAAAGAUGGUGAACUAUGCCUGGUCAGGACGAAGUCAGGGGAAACCCUGAUGGAGGUCCGUAGCGAUUCUGACGUGCAAAUCGAUCGUAAGAACUUGGUAUAGGGGCGAAAGACUAAUCGAACUAUCUAGUAGCUGGUUCCCUCCGAAGUUUCCCUCAGGAUAGCUGGCGCUCGUUGCGUACGAGUCUCAUCCGGUAAAGCGAAUGAUUAGAGGCAUUGGGGUCGAAACGACCUCAACCUAUUCUCAAACUUUAAAUGGGUGAGAUCUCCGGCUUGCUCGAACUUGAAGCCGCGAGAAUACGGAUCAGAGUGCCAAGUGGGCCAUUUUUGGUAAGCAGAACUGGCGCUGUGGGAUGAACCAAACGCCGAGUUAAAGCGCCUAAAUCGACGCUUAUGGGAUACCAUGAAAGGCGUUGGUAACUUAAGACAGCAGGACGGUGGCCAUGGAAGUCGGAAUCCGCCAAGGAGUGUGUAACAACUCACCUGCCGAAGUUACUAGCCCUGAAAAUGGAUGGCGCUGAAGCGUCGUGCUUAUACUCGGCCGUCAGCGGCAUGUGCGGUCGCCUUGUGCGGCCAUGAAGCCCUGAUGAGUAGGAGGGUCGCGGAGGUGCGCGCAGAAGGGCUGGCCGUGGGGCCGUCUGGAGCCGCCUUCGGUGCAGAUCUUGGUGGUAGUAGCAAAUACUCCAGCGAGGCCCUGGAGAGCUGAGGUGGAGAAGGGUUUCGUGUGAACAGCCGUUGCACACGAGUCAGUCGAUCCUAAGCCCUAGGCGAAAGCCGAUGUUGAUGUGGCGUUGUUAACCGUGCGACGAGCGCAGAAGAUCGAUAAAAAGAUCUAGAACGCUCUGCGCGUCAAGCACGCCCGUCGGGCGAAAGGGAAUCCGGUUCCUAUUCCGGAACCCGGCAGCGGAACCGUCAUUAAAUCGGGCCCUCGCAAGAGAGUUCGUCGGGGCAACCCAAAAGGACCCGGAGACGCCGUCGAGAGAUCCGGGAAGAGUUUUCUUUUCUGCAUGAGCGUUCGAGUUCCAUGGAAUCCUCUAGCAGGGAGAUAUGGUUUGGAACGCGAAGAGCACCGCAGUUGCGGCGGUGUCCGGAUCAUCUCCUCGGACCUUGAAAAUCCGGGAGAGGGCCACGUGUAGGCGUCGCGCCGGCUCGUACC